GUACGGAGAUGUGAAUUUCGACUGUCUGAUUCAGCGACGGAAGCUCGGGAAGCUUAAAUAGGCGCGGUCUCCGGAUGCCUCUUGAACGUGCACGGACAAGAGGAAGAGAGAGAGAGAAAAAAGAGAGAGAGAGAGAUACGGGAAGAGAGAGAGAGAGGGAGAGAAAGAAAGCACGUGCAAGAGAGAAAGAGAGAGAGAGAAAGAAAAAUAUUUCUAGGAGCUAAUCUGCGUUGUACACAUAUUACAUAUAAUAUAAUUAGUAAUUUGUAACCAUCCACACAUGUAUUACUUUUUGUGACUUAGUAACCGAGUUUUAUAAUCGAUUUUCUCAGUGUGUAACGUUCCACGAUAACGGCUUUCACCGGAAGCGCUAUAUAUUUUUUCCUCGUUGCUUACACUUACAGCAUACGAAACAAAACAAGACUAACUGAAUGAUCUGACAACAUUAAAUUCAUUAUUAUUAGUGAUAAAUAUACUCACACACACGUAUAUAUACUUGAUGUUUUAUGGCAACAAUAUUUAUGAGUGUUAGAUUCUCCUCAUAGUACAUCGUACAAUUAAAAUAAACUUUCUCUGUAUGUAACAGCAAGUGUGUCGAGACGAACAUAAAAGCAUUAUUAUAUAAACGAGAGGGCAUAUUAAUGUAUAUGCAUGCGAGAAAUUCUUGCUGAUCCAACAAAAA